AUACGGAGGGUGCAAGCGUUGUUCGGAAUUACUGGGCGUAAAGCGCGUGCAGGCGGUAAGGUAAGUCAGAUGUGAAAGCCCCGGGCUCAACCCGGGAAGUGCAUUUGAUACUGCCUUUCUUGAGUAUGGGAGAGGAGAGUGGAAUUCCCAGUGUAGAGAUGAAAUUCGUAGAUAUUGGGAGGAACACCCGUGGCGAAGGCGACUCUCUGGACCAAUACUGACGCUGAGACGCGAAAGCGUGGGGAGCGAACAGGAUUAGAAACCCCGGUAGUCC
rnacentral:rRNA from 1 species